rnacentral:rRNA from 1 species
AGUGAACGCUGGCGGUAGGCCUAACACAUGCAAGUCGAACGGCAGCACAGUAAGAGCUUGCUCUUACGGGUGGCGAGUGGCGGACGGGUGAGGAAUACAUCGGAAUCUACUUUUUCGUGGGGGAUAACGUAGGGAAACUUACGCUAAUACCUCAUACGACCUACGGGUGAAAGCAGGGGAUCUUCGGACCUUGCGCGAUUGAAUGAGCCGAUGUCGGAUUAGCUAGUUGGCGGGGUAAAGGCCCACCAAGGCGACGAUCCGUAGCUGGUCUGAGAGGAUGAUCAGCCACACUGGAACUGAGACACGGUCCAGACUCCUACGGGAGGCAGCAGUGGGGAAUAUUGGACAAUGGGCGCAAGCCUGAUCCAGCCAUACCGCGUGGGUGAAGAAGGCCUUCGGGUUGUAAAGCCCUUUUGAUGGGAAAGAAAAGCAGCAGGUUAAUACCCCGCUGUUCUGACGGUACCCAAAGAAUAAGCACCGGCUAACUUCGUG